rnacentral:rRNA from 1 species
CGCGUAGGCGGGGAGGUAAGUCGGGUGUGAAAGCCCUGGGCUCAACCCUGGGAAUUGCAUUCGAAACUAUCUGACUCGAGUAUGGGAGAGGGAAGCGGAAUUUCCGGUGUAGCGGUGAAAUGCGUAGAUAUCGGAAGGAACACCAGUGGCGAAGGCGGCUUCCUGGACUAAUACUGACACUGAGGUGCGAAAGCGUGGGGAGAAC